AUGGUGUCCGAUGGCGGCGGCGGCGGCUGCAGAUCGUGGCCGACGAGCCUGGGCACGCCGGAGAGAGACGAGCUCAUCCGUCUCGGAUUGAUGGUGCCGCCGGGCUGCCGUCUUCCUCAUGUGUUCCACAUCACCGCCGACGGGUACCCGACGAGGGGGCCCGGGGCGAACCCGGAUGAGCUACGCCAGCACGUGGGCGGCCGGUGGAACAUCGCCGGCCGCGCGAGAUUUUGGGAGGGCAAGAACUACUGGGUCGUCGUCGCGCAGGCUCGUCGGGAGUUGCGGACGGGCGGCUCGUCGUCUGCCGCGCGCGGCUCGUCAUCCGCCCCGCGCCGGCCCCCUUCGGCGGCCGCGCCGUCUCCGAGCUCGUCUUCCGCCCUGCGCCGGCCCCGCCGUGCCCCUCCGGCGGCAGCGCCGUCUCCGAGCUCGUCCCGUCGUCCGGUUCCCGCCAUCGCUCGGGCCGCCUCCCCUCCCGUCGUCGAGAUCCCGCCGGAGCAGUUCGCACUACGCGAGGACGGUGACCCCGACGACUGCCCCGGCUAUCUCAUCGCACUGCGGGCGUCGCAGGCAGAAGCGGCGCCUGCGGCGGCGGCCGCGGAGGCGAGAGUGGCCGCCGAGCUGCAGGCCGCACUCGACGCGGUGGCGGCUAUGGCGGCGGCAGCAGAGGCCGCCGAGCUGCAGGCCGCACUGGAUGCGGCGGCGGCCAUCGAAGCGGUGCAGCCGCUGGUGGCUCCGGAGGAGGGCGACGACGGCUAUUGGGACGACGGCGGCAAGAGCAGCGACGGCGGCGACGACGACGGUGACGUCGGUGCGGGGGAGAUCGUGGACCUCGCCGACUCCGACGACGAGUAG
rnacentral:rRNA from 1 species